rnacentral:lncRNA from 1 species
CUACUAAACAAUAUGAGCGAUAUAACUAAUCCUCUAGAAGAAAUUCCGUCUAUUUAACCCCCCAGAAGAGGUUUCUUCUGUUGCACUCCUAGAAGAAGCUCCUUCAGCUUCCCGUGAGAAUGGUAAGAAAGCUCAAUAACCACAUAAAGGCAAGAAAGGGCAGGUACGGAGCCCCUUGUAUUGGUGAAACGGACGGAAGUCAAGACUUGGGAGUUGAAGAGUCUUGACUAGGACCGCUUCAUCCAUUCGAAAUAAGUGCAACCAGAAGAUUAUGCACCCAGAGCAGAUCAAGUACUUCUGGUCCCAAACUCAACUGUACUUGGAACCCUCAUAAGAUAGUAGUCUUCAUCUAUUGUGCUAUUAUAGUUUCCGUGGAGAGAAUCUCACACCUUACUAACCGCAUACCUAACAUGCAGUAUAGGAACUCGAAACAGUCUCAUCCUCUCUAGGUUAUAAGUAACCUAUUCUAUUAAUUUAUAUUAUAUAUCUAAUGACAGUUAACAAUUUGUGACAAUCAAUGGUGUUCUUAUUUUAUCAAUUAGCAAGAUUAUAUUUCUCUCUUACUGGAUUGUAAUUCAUUUCAACACAGCUACAUCCAUUUUCCAACGAUUAAUAAGAUUUCUCUUAUCUUAAUCUUUGUUCUAUCAAUCAUUAUUGUUCUUCAAUUUUCUAUAUGCGAUUGAGAUUAAUACGCUUGGUAGUGGUCUUAAAAAUAAAUUCAAUUAUUUAUUUUAAAAUCAAUUUUUGUUAAACAGUGACACCCCUAGCGGGACCCUAGGAUUGAGUGUUUGAUCCAAUGUCACACUGCUUCCUUUUAUGUUUCUAUUAUACUCAUGUAUUGAUUAUUUAUUUAUUUAAGGAAACACCAUAUGUGAGAUC